CAUGCGCAGUGGCCACGCGGGCGGCCGCCGGGCCUCUCCCAGACUGGGCGGGGGCGUACCAAGAGGAAAGGCAAGGAAGGGGCAACGGAGAAGAAACUACCCCGCGGUAGGUGAGUGACAGGGAGAGAGGCAAAGGCGCUGACUCCAGGGACGUUGUUAGAACUGGAAAGCCUCACUCCGGAGACACUGUGGGGCAUUUCAACGACAAUCCGGUCGCGGGCAUUUUUCUGUUGCUGGUCCCCCACCCGCGCCAGUCGCACAGCCCAGCCGCGCCCAGGUUCCGGGAAGGAAGUUCUGAUACAUGCUACAACCUGGAUGAACCUUGAGGGCAUUAUGCUGAGUGAAAUAAGCCAGUCACAAAAAGGCAAGUACUGUAUGAUUCCAUCGAUUUAAGGUAGUAGAGUAGUCAAAUUCACAGAGAAAGAAAGUAGAAUGGUGGUUACCGGGAGCUGGGGGGGAAAUGGGAAUGGGGAGUUACUGUUUAAUGGGUACAGAGUUUCAGUUUUGCAAGAUGAAAAGAAUUCUGGAGGUGGAUGAUGGUAACGAAUAUACUUCACACUACUGGAUUUCUGCACUUAAAGAUGCACAGAAAUGGUUAAGAUGGAGGGCCCCUGGGCAGCUCAUUCAGUUGAGCAUCUAACUCUUGAUUUCCGCUCAGGUCACGAUCCCAGGGUUGUGGAAUUGAGCCCCUAGCAUGGAGCCUGCUUAAGAUUCUCUCUUUCUGGGGCGCCUGGGUGGCUCAGUCAGUUAAGCAUCUGACUUUGGCUCAGGUCACAAUCUCAUGGUUCAUGAGUUCGAGCCCCACGUCAGGCUCUGUGGUGACAACUCAGAGCCUGGAGCCUGCUUUGGAAUCUGUGACUCCCUCUCUCUGCCUCUCCCCCACUCUUGUUCUGUCUCUGUAUCUCAAAAAAUAAAUAAAUGUUAAAAAAAAAUUAAAAAAAAAAAAAAAAGAUUCUCUUUUUCUACCCCCGCUUGUGCCUCUUCUUCCCCAACCCCGGCUCAUGCAUGUGCUCUCUCUCUCUCUCUCUCUCUCAAAAAAAAAAAAAAAAAAAGGUUAAGAUGGUAAAUAUGUAUGUUAUGUAUAUUUUGCCACAAACAUAAUUAAAAAAAAAAAAAAACCUUGGUAUGUGUGUGUGUGUGUGUGUGUGUGUGUGUGAAUUUAUGGCACAGUCUCCUAGAGUAUAGUGAGUGACGAAUCCAUUGAUCAACUUAAUUGAAAUUCCAAGCAUAGGAAGUAUUUUCUUCUCAAAGGAAAAAGAAGUGUGGCCGACAGAGAAUUUUAAAACCUAAGAGGCGGAAGGCACUCAAUAACUGAACAAGUUCCACAAUAACCACUUUAUUUUCCGGGUGCUAAACUGAUGUCUGGAGAGGUUAAGGGACUUGCCCCAAGUCUCCCAACCAGUUAAACCUCAGCCAGAACUAGAGCCCAAGUGUCCCAACACCGAAUCUAGUCCUUUCUCACCAAAUCCUCCUUGCUAGAUCCUGCCAAGGGAUCUCUCCUGAAAACCUGUAAAAGUCUCUGCCCAUCUGACUCUCAGCCACACCCAGCCCCGUUGGAGCCAGUGAGGUCACCUUUCCCUAGUCUCAGUUUUGUCUCCCCAGCCACUACCACAGUUCUUGGAAUUGUAUGCUCUCACAAGCCCCAGUUUUCAUAGUUUGAGUACAGUAUUUACUCAAUAAAUAUUUAUUGACUAAUGUAUUGAAACAGCUUCUUGGGUUUUUUUUUUUAAUAUUUUAAUGUUUACUUAUUUUUGAGAGAGAGAAUACAAGCAGAGGAGGGGCAGAGAGGGAGGGAGACCCAGAAUCUGAAGCAGGCUCCAGGCUCUGAGCUGUCAGAGCCUGAUGUGGGGCUCAAACUCAUGAACUGUGAGAUUGUGAGCCAGAGUCAGAUGCUUAACCCACUGAACCACACAGGGACCCCUCGAAAACAGCUUCUUACAGGCCAAUUUCACCAAGAACUCACCAAUUUUCGGUUUCAUUUUAAGGUUGGGAGCACAUCUGCCCAUGCUGAAUGGUUGUGAAAUUUAGGUUAAAAGAUAAAAGAAAGUUUAUUUAGUCAACAAUUAUAUUUUAGUGUCUACUGGGGUCCAGGCACAAAAUUAGUAUCCAUAUAGCAAAGACUUUGUCAAUGUUUCUACUUAAUGACAAGUCUAAUUUGCAGGGUUAUAAGAUAAGGCAUGAAAGUGCCCAGUGUGGUACACAAUAGGAAGUCAACAAAUGUGAAUUUCCCUUUAUUAUUCUUGUACUGCAGAGUAAUAGGGUAUGUUU